UACGGGGGGAGCAAGCGUUGUUCGGAUUUACUGGGCGUAAAGGGCGCGUAGGCGGUCACGACAAGUCAGUUGUGAAAUCUCCGGGCUUAACUCGGAACGGUCAACUGAUACUGUCGGACUAGAGUGCAGAAGGGGCAACUGGAAUUCUCGGUGCAGCGGUGAAAUGCGUAGAUAUCGAGAGGAACACCUGCGGCGAAGGCGGGUUGCUGGGCUGACACUGACGCUGAGGCGCGAAAGCUAGGGGAGCGAACGGG
rnacentral:rRNA from 1 species